UCUCUUCUGUUAUUUUUGACUUUUCUUUGUUUAUUUUAACAGAAAAUGCUGCUGCGUGUUGUGUUUGGUGGGGAGCAAAAGUAAGUCAGGCUGUCAGACCUAACAUUUGAUGCCUUUAAGAAAGAUGUGUGCCUAAAAUUUAACAUACCAGAAGAGAGGCAGCUAGAUAUGAAGGUCUAUGACCAAUCUGACACAGAAGCUGACGGAGACGUCUUUUAAGAAAUAGUGAAGGAGUCCCCUGGAACCUUCCGAGUUACCUUGACCAAUGAAGAACUUGGUGCUUCUCUAUCACCAUCCUCGUCAUUAUCAUCAUGCUCAGUAGCAUCUGACAGUACUAUCAUUCUGAACUUCACCACGUGUGACCCUCUUGAAGAAGCAAACGCUGCUGAAGGAAGUCAACCUAAAAGGCCAUGCCACAUAAACUAUGAGGCAAAAGUAGUGGGUGGACAUUGCUGUUCAGUCUAAUCUACUCGUUCCUUUCGAUGGGAAGUGUUUUUAUGUAACUGUCUUUUUAAUUUUCUGCCUGUAUAUUUUAUUUCCAUUGAAGUUGAUUGAAAACAUUCUAACAACAAAGCCUGGUGGUGAACACAUCAUGCAAGAGUAUGCAAAAACCAAAUCUCUGAAAGAUGCCACCAGA